CAGGGUACUCGAGUGGCGAACGGGUGAGUAACACGUGGGUGAUCUGCCCUGCACUUCGGGAUAAGCCUGGGAAACUGGGUCUAAUACCGGGUAGGAGCCAUUUUUAGUGUGAUGGUUGGAAAGUUUUUUCGGUGUAGGAUGAGCUCGCGGCCUAUCAGCUUGUUGGUGGGGUAAUGGCCUACCAAGGCGGCGACGGGUAGCCGGCCUGAGAGGGUGGACGGCCACAUUGGGACUGAGAUACGGCCCAG
rnacentral:rRNA from 1 species